CAGACAUGUGUUAUCCCUUUAGAACUUGCACUAAUUCUGACUUACAUCACUUGUAAUUUAUGCAUACAUUGAGGCAAUUUUGUUUGGUCGUUUGAGCCUUUCUAACUACCCUAUGAAAAUUUUACCCUUUGCUAGCCCCUUUGAGCUUUGCCCUUUUAAUUCGGUUACUAGCCACAUUACAAGCCAAAUACCUGACUUUAAUUAAAUCACCUUACUUGGAGUUAAGUAAAAAAAAAUUAUUGUCUUGAUAAAGUUCUAAGUUUGGGGUUGCUCAUGGGAUACCAACCUUUUAAGUUUGGGGUAGUGAUUCUCACAAAAAGAAAAAAAACAAGAAGAAAAAGAAAAAGAAAAAAAAAGGAAGAAAAAAAAAAUCAAUUUUGUACUUUGGUAAAUAAUAUCUUUUUGGUUCUUUUGUCAAUGUUUGAGAAUCUCCAAAAUGAAAAGGUGAAGAAAAAUAAAAAAAUGGUAGAAUAAUUUGGAAAUGUAUGCCUAACUCCAAGUAGUAAAGCCUACUAUCCCAAAAUGUCCUACCCUUAUAUAAGCUUCAUUACAACCCGAAAGUCCUCCAAAAAUGUAUGUGUUUACUGCAUUGUGAUUGCUAACUAGAAUUUUUUCAAGCCUAUGGUAGCAUGAUGCAUGUUCUCGGAUUUGAGUGAUAAAUUCGUAACCCUUUCUAAACACUUGAGAGAAAUUUUGGUGAGAUUGUGUGAAGAGAGAGUUGAACUUGAUGAAUGAAUGCUAAAGUGUACAAAUUGUGUCGUUUUUUGUAAGCAACCAUAGGGCAUGAUGAAUAUUUUGUAUUAGCUGGAACUUUGAA
rnacentral:lncRNA from 1 species